GACGAACCGUGCGAACGUUGUUCGGAAUCACUGGGCUUAAAGGGCGCGUAGGCGGCCCGCCGCGUCCGGGGUGAAAUCCUCCCGCUCAACGGGAGAACGGCCUCGGAUACGGGCGGGCUGGAGGCGGGUAGGGGCACGCGGAACUGUGGGUGGAGCGGUGAAAUGCGUUGAGAUCCACAGGAACUCCGGUGGCGAAGGCGGCGUGCUGGACCCGAUCUGACGCUGAGGCGCGGAAAGCCAGGGGAGCGAACGGG
rnacentral:rRNA from 1 species